UACGUAGGGGGCAAGCGUUGUCCGGAUUUAUUGGGCGUAAAGAGCGUGUAGGCGGCCUGAAAGGUCAGCUGUGAAAACUCGAGGCUCAACCUCGAGACGUCGGUUGAAACCAUCUGGCUAGAGUCCGGAGGAGGAGAGUGGAAUUCCCGGUGUAGCGGUGAAAUGCGCAGAUAUCGGGAAGAACACCCGUGGCGAAGGCGGCUCUCUGGGACGGUACUGACGCUGAGACGCGAAAGCGUGGGGAGCGAACAGG
rnacentral:rRNA from 1 species